rnacentral:rRNA from 1 species
AUUGAACGCUGGCGGCAUGCCUUACACAUGCAAGUCGAACGGUAACAGGUCUUCGGAUGCUGACGAGUGGCGAACGGGUGAGUAAUACAUCGGAACGUGCCUAGUAGUGGGGGAUAACUACUCGAAAGAGUGGCUAAUACCGCAUGAGAUCUACGGAUGAAAGCAGGGGAUCGCAAGACCUUGUGCUACUAGAGCGGCCGAUGGCAGAUUAGGUAGUUGGUGGGAUAAAAGCUUACUAAGCCGACGAUCUGUAGCUGGUCUGAGAGGACGAUCAGCCACGCUGGGACUGAGACACGGCCCAGACGCGUACGGGAGGCAGCAGUGGGGAAUUUUGGACAGUGGGCGAAAGCUUGAUCCAGCAAUGCCGCGUGCAGGAUGAAGGCCUUCGGGUUGUAAACUGCUUUUGUACGGAACGAAAAGCCCCGGGUUAAUACCCUGGGGUCAUGACGGUACCGUAAGAAUAAGCACCGGCUAACUACGUGCCAGCCGCCGCGGUAA